rnacentral:tRNA from 2 species
GCUCACGUAUUCUACUUAAGAUAUAACACUGAAGAUGUUAAGACGGCCCCUAAAAAGGCCCGUGGACA